GGAUAUUGGUUUGAUGCAUAUUAAAAAAAAUACUAGUUUUUGUUUUUUAGAGGAGGUAGACUUAGACUGGAUUAAAGAAUAAAGAAGGACAAAGAGCCAUUCUUUCAAUGUAGUCUUAUAAAGCAGUUGUCUUGCUUAACCUUUGGCUUUUGGAUCUUGGUUUGUUGUGCUUUCCUUUUUCUUUUCCAUGCUGUCUCACCUGCUCCCUUAUUCGAGAUGGAUUUGAUGUUUACGUUUUUCCUCACAAUUUUUUUUAAUAUUUGGAAUGCUUGAUAUUCCCGUUUACCAGCAUGAUUGCACCUCUAUUUUUGCUUCUUUGGUCUUUUUUUUUUUGGCUGAUUUUCUUUGUUGUAGUUUUUCCAGUUUCUUUCAGCUUUUACAUUAGUUAGGUUUCCUUUCUCUUGGACUGUCAACUUAAAAAAUUGUCUGAAAAGGUGGCCUUUGGAGCUUGUUUGCUUCAUCUCAGGCAUGCUGUGAUUUGUGGAUCCAUUGUACAUUCUUAUUGUUUUAGUGGUUAGCAUCAUCAAGCUAGUCCUCGAGGUGCUAGCUUCUCCUUUUUUUUCAGUUGUUAUUUCCUAUACCAUGCUGUGCUUCCUGUCUGCAGUUCUGUGUUCUUUGCUUCUUGUGCGUGUGUGUGUGUGUGUUUUUUUUUUGCUUGGCUGUUCGUUGUGAUAGUCUAGAUUGCACAUGGUUUACUUGCUUCAGAGAUGUUUGUAGAGUUUAUAUGUUGUGAAUUGAAAUAUGUGCAUGUUUUGAUUGUUCUGCUUUUUUCUCAAUAAAUUUGUUGGUCAACCAAUGGUUAAAUGUGUAUACAAGUAACACUUUGUUUUUCCUUUCUAAGGGGUUCUCUUUUUCCUGGUUUGAUUUUGUUUCAGUCUAGCAGUUAAACUUUUGCUCUGCUCUAUUUCUUUAGAUCUUUGUUUAAUGCCUGGUUUCUUUGGCUGCUUAAUUACCAGCUCUUCUUGUUUUCAACAAAACUGAAUGCUUGCUUUUUUGUUCUAAAAUUUGCUCUUCUACUUCAUUAAGGCAUUGUGCCUUUGCCCCAGCCUUCGUUUUUUAUACUGGUUUGUGUCUUUUCUGUUCUUUUUAUCUUUCAAUGUUGUAUCCUUAGAUUUCUUUCUUUUAUCUUUUCCGUCUAUGUGCUGUAACUUUACUUGUGCAUUUAGAUUGUGCUCUUAUUCUCCCCCGUCUUCCCCCCUUUUCUCUAGCUUAUAAGCUUGGUUUCAAUGUGGCCGACAGAGGCCAGGGUUACUUUGCCUGAAGUGCUUAAUUAUGUAAACUUUGCUGUAUUAAUUUGGAGGGAAUCCAAUCAUGUAAACUUCGCCAUACUAAUUUUCCCUGCCCUUUCUUUUUCUUUAUUAUCUUGAAUUUAUCCUACCAAUUUUCGAGCCACUGUUUGUGUUCUGAUACAUUCCUAUCCCCUUCUGUUCUUGCUUUUCCUUUGCUUUCCCUGCUCUUUCUUUUUCUUUAUUAUCUUGAAUUUAUCCUAUCAAUUUUCGAGUCACUGUUUUUUUUCUUUUACAUUCCUAUCCCCUUCUUUUCUUGCUUUUCCUUUUCGCUUUGCUUCUUCUGGUCUCCAGCUCAUUAUUUUGCUGAGCGUGAAAUCUGUUUUUUUUUUUUUAUUGUGUUAGGUAGAUUAUUAAAGUUCAUAAGUUCUAUUAUUGAAGUCACUUGUGUUGAUUAUCUGCGGGUUCAUUUUUUUGCUUAUUUAUUAAGUUAAGUGGCUGAUUCAAAUGUUUGUUAACAUGAAUUCUUUGUUGUUAUGACUGGUCUAUUCUGGUUUAUUGAAAUUGGAAGCCCUUGUCCUUGUUCUUUUGUGUGCCUCUCAGUGUUAGGAAAAUUGACUAGCUCUCUGUAUACAUUCUUUGGUAUCCUAGGUUCUGUAAUUAAGGAUCUAUUGUUUCAGAUUGACAGUUUAAGGUUGAAAUGACUGAAUCAUAAAGAAAACCAUCCAUCUAAAUAUUUAAAACGGGAGCUCAGGUUCUUUGUUGUCCUGAUUGUGGACCUCCAAUUUCAGAAGAUUUCUGAUUUCUGGAGUGCAGAGCUUAUGAAUUUGAACCCCAGGGCUUGUGCAAAUAGAUGAAUCCAUUCCAGAGCUGUUUGGAUCCACUGAAUAAUCUGAUCAAGCUGUUUCUAUCUUCCUAGAUGUUGCUGGAAAUGAAUCUUUGACCAAGAAAACUUAUUAAGCAACAGGAUAUAUGAGAUGCAAAACUGCAAAGUGAAAUGUUUGCAGUUUACAUUACUCAUGAGCUAAUGUCUUUGCAUUUUGGGUUCACACUUGGAGAUAAAAGGAUGGUCAACCUCAUGAAUGUUGGUUUUUUUGUUGCUGGAAUUCUCUGUGUUCUCAGUAAAGCUGGCAUUGAUUACUUUUACUACAUUGAAGCUAAUAACUGAUAUCUAAAUCAUAUAAACAGAAUCUGACGUUUCCUGACCGAUUAGCAGCAGCUAUUCAUUACUUUGAUCUGCUUUGUAUGCCAUUCUGCUGUAGAAUUUAAGGACAGACAAAAUGAAACAAAUAAUUGUUUAAGCAUGUUGAUACUUCUUGAGCUUUGGUACUUACUUAAUGAAUCAGUAGCCACUGGAUUGAAAUUUCUCAAAAGCCUGUGCUAAGAAUAUUUUUAGCAGAAGAAGUGCAUAUUACAAGAGUCAUGGCAACCUAGGCGGUUGAUCACCCAGAACUUCUGUUGUACUUCUUUUGACUGCAGCUGUGGCUGUGUUGCUUGAUAUGGCUUCGCUUGUAUCUGAUGAUUCAUUAGGCAGGCUGGCAGAUCUGAUGCAACAACGCCGUACAUAAAGAUUUACUUGCACCUUCUCUUGCAAUUGAUCGAGAAGUUAUUCAAAGCAUGGUAUCAUGCAUAGAUAUGAAAGUGACUUGGAGUAGGCACUGAGAUUAGUUAUUCAGUGCAGAUAAAUUCUGGAUUGAUGAAGUCCGUAAGGUAUGGUUGGACCUAAAUAAUGUCUUUACGAGGAUGAUAUAUCUCUUAGGCGCUGUGUUGUCCAUGCUUCAUCCAGGCUGAUCAAAAUGUUCUUCUACAGGAUGGACUAUCUACUUGUAGUUGAUGAAGGUUUAACAAAACAAUUGUAUCAAGCUCCUGUGUUUAAUUAUCGAAUUUCUAGUAUCACGAACAAAGUCAUGUUUUCGGUUUUCUUGAGAAUUAAUGCAGAAAAAAAAAAAGGAAGAAUUUUCCUUCAAGAA